CACACACACACACACACACACACACACACGCACGCACGCACGCACGCACACACACACACACACACACACACACACACAUACACACACGCACGCACGCACAUAUUGAAUACACUUUCAUGAUGCUUUGUCAUUCCUCGCCUGCCUCCCACCCUGUUGAACUCACUAAGGAGGACCACUUGACACUCAUUUCACAUCCGUGUCUGUGAGCGACCUCGUCCUCCCCUCUUCUGUCUCUGUGGUCUCCUCUGUGAGGUCUGAAUGCUCCCUCUUCACCGCGCGUUGACGUCUAAUCAACAGUAAUUAACCCUGGCCUUUUUACACAGGCCGCAUCGCUGGGAGAUAAUAAAGACAUCACUGAGGGUUCUAUUUGCUUUUUUUCCCCCGUCACACAUCUUUUAUCGCUUGGGCUCGUCCCCUAAUGACGAACUGACAAUGGAUUGUGAUUGGCCAACACCAGGAAAGAAGGCCCUUGAUGAUUCCGUGCCAACUGGCUGAGAUAAUGGAGUUCUGGACCAGUCCUCCGGGUGCGUCUUUGGUCUGUCUCCAAUCUUGCUAUCAGACCGUUGGCAGGCCUGGAAAACAAACAGGCACAAGACACAUCUAUACGGUCUUUUGCUGGAAACAAAGACAUUUGCAUAACAGAGUUUUCAGGCAGGUCUCAGAUGGAGGUUUGGAAAGUGCGCUAUAAUCUUGAGUAGAAUGAUUCAAGUGUCAGUCAGUCUCCCCAGUGGAAAAAAGAGCGCCUGCUUCAAGCCUUGGAUGCAAAAAUAGUAUGGGAGAUAUAGGACACCUCUGCUCUACCCCCUCAUCUGACCCUUGACCCUUUGAAGGAAAACGUCUACAUCAAAUACAGAAUUAUCUAUUCAAAUGCCUGGAAACAAUCUUUGGACAAUGACACAUCAAUCAAAACGUUCCCUGAACCGGGGGUGGUUGUUUAUAUAAAUGCUGUCCAUCUGGGGGAGAGAUCUCAGCUUCGUUACAUCUUUCUAUCUGUGGGGAGAUGGCAGAAAAAAUAGAAGAAUCUUCAUAGAACAACUUAAAAUUCAGCCUUUUUUUCUCUCGUCUUUUUUUUUUCCUUCCUCAAAUCCCAGCGCGAAUGUGUCGGCGAGCUCGUGGUAUGCAUCAAGAUGAAAAGUGGAGGCCAUCCCUUUGAAAUCCUCCUCAAGUCAAAAUUACCAUUUCAUUUCAACUGCAGCCAGGAAACGGAGAGCGGGGCCACUGCUAACUGCUUUGGGCAUAGCGUUAUUUAUUGUGUGUAAACUUUGGAAGAACAUUGUUGCCUGGGAAAAUGUGUUGUGUGGGCGGUGGAAGUGAACAGUUGGAGCAACCACAAAGGGAGAGAUCAGGCCUAUUUUCUCUGUAGGAGGAACACAUAAAAGUGAAAAUAAUGCCCAUUAUUACAGAAAAACAACAGCAGGCUGCUUUGCUCAUAAUUUUCCUACAGCGAAGACGCUGGUUACCUCUGAAGCUAAACAACCCAACGGUUGACCCUAUUUAGGUAACUUCAUUAUCAUUUUCUCUGCUCUUUUAAUUAGUCAGCUCUCUGCGUUUAGUGGGCGAUUAUCUAAGCUGGAGCUAACUGCUGUAGUUCAUUCAUGGUGGUCACAUAUAGCUGUCAUGUUGUUUCAUAUACUUGGGUUUAUUAACCUGCCUACCGCUGGGGUUGACAUUAAAUAAACUAUAGGGUGAACCGUGUCUUAUUUCUUUGCUUUUAUGUGAUGCAAUUAGGAGCUGUUAUCAUUUCACCUCCAGCAACUUGGAUUCAAGUUGGAGAGGGAGAGUUUUGUCCUCCAAAACAACUCAAACACUAAUAAUUUCCGCACUGAACAAACAAGAGACCCAGAGCAGAGUUGAGCUGAACACGGCAGGAAGUGGAGUUUUAUUUCCUGAUAUUCUGACAUCUCAACUCUGACUGGUUAAUAGCAAAGCGACUCUGUCACUGAUUCCAUUUUAUCUCUUUAAAUAACACAAGCCCGAUGGAGUUUUGCCAUGUUGUGGGGUUUCUAAUGCUAACGGUUAGCUUCUACUAGCCGAGAUGUGCUCUACUCUCUCCUGCCAAAUCAACUACUCAACGUGACGUGAAAUUAACUGGCUUUUCUAAUCUAUGAGUUUCUUCGUCUAUCACUGGCUAAUGCAGGAAAUAGGUGUAGAAGACUACACACAUAGGGCCUGCAUGUGAAACUCAGAGUGACCAAUCGUUUUUCAAAAAGAAGUAAAAAGUGGUUUCCCAGUGAUCUUGGCCUUUAAAGGUGUGUGAAACCCAUUUAAUCAAUACAUUUGCAGUGGUCUCUGGUUGAAAUUAUUGCCUUGCGGACCGUAAUCAGGGUAAAAAAAAAUCCAAGAAACGCCUGGAUCAGCAGGGACAACUCUGUCAUAUCAAAGAAGAGCUAAACACAGCAGGAUUUAAAGUCUUAUUUUGUGACAUUUGGACAUCUUGCCUCAGAUUGGAUGAAAACAGUGUAACUCUACCACUGACUCUGUUUGGUCUGCAACACUGAUGUUUUAUCUCCACAAAUAACACAAACCUGGAGGAGCUUCUGCCAUGUGGUGAGAAUGCUAAUGUUAACAGUUAGCUUUUGCUAGCCGGGACAUUUCUGGACACUAAACCAACAACAGCCUUCUCUGCCGCAAGUUAAGCGUCUAUGAACGUUCAAUGACAGUGUGAUGUAGAUCGGUCAGAAUUUUUAAAUCCUAGAGUUUCACCGUCUGUAAGGAGCCUAACUCUACUCCCAUUACUUUCGGACCACGGGUCCCUGGAAGAAUGAAAAAAUGAAUGCAAGUCAAUGGGGCUAAAUAUUUUCUAAUCGCUUUGCCUCACGCCCUGGAUAGCACUUCCGUUGUUCUGCAGUUUAAAUGAAAAGUAAUGAUGGGUGUUUCGACCACGCCUGUCACGUACUUUGAGAUUUAUCAGCUUGUAAAAGUUCAUAAUUAGCAUAACUACACACCAGAAAUCGACAUGUUGCAUAUGUGAUGUAAACACAUAAUCUCCUCUCCCCUAACGUAGCUGCUACUUACCACAUGGUCAGAUUUAUGGUGUUGCUUUUCUCUCGUGGGAAGGAUUUGAAGUUUGUUGAACUUACAGCCAUUUUCCUUCAGUUUUCUCUGUGUCUGGUUUGAUGACAUCACUUUCGUGAAGCGCAUUUAUAGUCCUGGACUUAUUUUUACACAAAACCUAAAACAGCGUUUCCCCUGUUUGAAAAUUAGCACGGUCUUGGUAUCAAAGUGCUUUUUUAAAAUUCAUGGACAUCAUAUGUGAAAUCCAUGGCACAAAGCAAGCAGAAUUAGAAACUAGCAUUUUUAGUCCCAUUGACAUGCAUUCAUUUUUUCGUUCUGGUGCAGAAGUAGAUGGGCGUGGCUUAGGCUCCCUAUUUUCUAUCAGAAGCUAAUGCAGGAGAUACAUGUAGGAGACUCUUUUCAUGUUCAGCCUGCAUGAAAAACUCAGUGGGACAGAUUAUAAUCAGCUAAAAUGUUUUUUUUCCCCGUGUUCUAUACCUUUAUCUCCAAUCUCCAAUUGAAAGUUUGAAAGCCAGCCGUAGAUUCUGCUCCUUUGAGUGAGCAGUUUCAGUGGUUCCUGGCCAUACUAUAUAUUUGCCUGCCUUAAAGCCUGAAUUCCACUGGGCUGCGACUUGUUGAAGACAAAAUUGUGGAAACAUUUAAAAGAUCGAAAAACAAAACAUGAAGAACAUUUAAAGCUGCUUUGAAAGCACCGGAGUAAAAAGAUGAUGAUAAUGAAGGCUGUUGGGUACAAAUGGAAGUGGAGAUGCCCAUCUGGUAAUUAAAGCCAACUUGUGUCAGAAUUUGGGAGCAGUGACUGAAAAAACAUCAUCUCAAUCCAACAGCUGAGUAAAAAAGAAGAAAAUCAUGAAUCAUAUAGCCGGGGUUGAAAUUACGGGGGAGCAAAGGGGAGCCUGGCCCACCUGAAAGGGUGGCGGGCUCCCCUAGAAACCCUCAACUUACACACCCAGGGGAGCGCAAAAAAAAAGAUCCUGCGCAUGGCCACAGUAACAUUCUCAAAGUGUCGCCACCCUAACAAUACAUAGUUAACACACGAUAGUUUACACCAGCUCAUAUCCUCUGGCGCUUUCUGUCUUUUAUUUGUGCCUAAUGCGCUUCGCUGCUGCAGAGCGGAGCGCAUCACAUGUCUUGUGCUCCAGUGACUUCACCUCACUGGUGCGGCCGUGCAGCGCACACGCCUCUUUUUGCAUUUGGUAGAUCCCUUUGAACUGUUUAGUUAAAAAGUAACUCAUGACGUGAAAAAAUAGGAAGCUAAGCACCAUUUUUUUUCUGUAGGAUUGAGAAGAAAUCACCUUCCAGAUCACCUUCAAAACUCAGUCCCACACCCAGGGCCGUUUCAAGACAUUUCAGGGGCCAGUGCAAGAAUAAAGUAGACCCGUAGGAGGAGGUGGUCUUGGUUUGCUCAACCUGACACAACAGCCACGUGUGCGCUGCUAGUAUGAGCCAAAUAUUUGUGUUGCAUUAUGGGAUGGAGGAGGACACAAAGAUCAGCAAAUUCUUAGUAGCUCCAAGCUAGCUGAAAAUGAAAGGAGGGCUUUGUUCCUUUAUAAAGAAUUAUUACCAAUAGAUCAAGUGAUAAAAAAGAUACACAAUCUGUGUUAACUGUGAUUUUUUUCAUCCAAAUGAGCAAUAAAUAACUAUUAAAUGUUUACAUUCCUACAGAAAGAUGUAGUUUUAACACAGUGUGUGUUCCUAUUUGUGCUGCUGACAGGGACGAAAUUUUGAUUUCAGAAGUGGGGGGGACACAGCAGGCUUGUGCGGAUUUGGGGUGGGGGGUGUUAUGUAAAGACCCCUUGACACGUCACGUGCCCAUCUCAAUAAUUUUUCCAUCCUCAAUAUAUAUAUAUAUAUAUCAAAGUUAAAAAAUGUACAACUCUAUUAUUAUUUUUAUUUAUUAUCAUUAUUGAAGUGCAGUUUUGGCUGUUGACAAUGGAUAGGCCAUUGUAUUUAUUGUUUUGGGUCUUUUUUU
rnacentral:lncRNA from 1 species